AGUCCAAUCACUGUGGCCUGGAGGAUGGGACACCAUGAUUUGCAAGACUCUGGUCACAUGCCCACACCUGUGGCUUCUGAAGCAGAGCACCAGCAGUGACAGUCCCACCAGAACCGCAUGGAAUAGAAAACUGUGCAUUUCCCUAAGGAAAGGGAAUGCCAGAGAAGGGCAGAAGGGAAAUCAGGAAGACAAAACGGUAAAUUACCUACCACAAAUCCAAUUCAUUGGUAUUUUUCCACUUACACUUAACCAAGCAACGAUUUCUCCUGGUCCCAUAAUGGAAAAGAGGGUUUAUCUAGAUUCAUAUAUACAAGACUGAAGAGUGAAGAGAGACCCAGAGAAUGUUCUAAAAUCUGCCAGUUAGCAUAAUCACACAGAGAAAUCUCUGCUUCCAGAGGAGGAGCCAAGUUCAAGUCAGAGUGUCUUCAUGUUGGAGUGGACCUUUCCUCUAUCUGUCAACAGAAUGGAUAAAUUGUGGAAGAGUAAUAUCAGAAUACUACACAUCAGUAAAAAACAACAAACUUCUGCUACAAACAAUCAACAUCGAUGAAUCUUUCAGGCAAAAGGGCAAAGAAAAGUAUUGGUCUUCCAAAACAAAUAGAGGACGGAGCUGCUGCUGUUGCAUGGUGUCUAGAAACUCAGACAACUUCAUCAUUCCAUAUUUGCAUCCAAGAGAGAGAAAGAAAAACUACAAUCAUUUUCCAUUUACCCAUCAACCCAUCAACCUCCAAAUAAAGGCUAUUAAAAAACAAUCAAAGUGUGAAGAGGGCAGAAAAUGUGAUGAAGAGAUUCUUUGGAGAAAGUAGCUGCCACUGUUACCUUGGGAUCUGCCUAUAGUCCUCACAGAGCUUGCCCUUGCAGGAUAGAACAUAGGAGUCUGGGAGUCUGCAAGAAGACAGGGUCUCACUAUGUUGCCCCAGUUGGCCUUGAACUGCUGGACUCAAGGGAUCCUCCUGCCUCAGCAUCCUGAGUAGCUGGGUCUACAGGCAUGAACCACCAGGCCCAGAACCCUGUCUUUUGAAAGCCAUAUGCGAUCUGUCUGCCCUGAAGUGACUACUUCAUCUCCAACCAGCCCUUGGCUGGCAAAGUCAGGAAGACUCCAGUCUUUCCUGAAGACCAGGGGAGAGUUUAUAACUCUAGCAUCAAAGUCAGCAGCUGUUCAUCUAGAAGACAACUUCCCAAAAGUCAAUGUCUUUGCCUGAAGCUUUUCUUCCCAGAUCUCCUAUGGUGAAACAACCAAAGGGAAGAAGAAUGUGGGCAGCCCUCAGUAAGACAGGAGAUGAGCAUCAACAUUGACCCAUUCUUUCUUCCAGUCCUCGAUGCUUACCUUGUACAUUCUUCUUUGUCUUCCGACUCAGUGCCUUUAGGGUAUGGACGUUGCCUGGUCCCACACAAGCCAAGCAUCAAAUGGAUGGCUCAACAAGGAGGCCAAGACCAGCUAAUGUUUAGUGAGCACCCAAAGGGGCCACACUGGAGAGAACAGCACAGCUCCGUCUGAGAAACAGCUGUUCCUUCCUGCCUGAGAGGCAGAGUGAUAGAAGAUAUCACAGAAUGUUGCUGCUUUGUCUUCCACCCUGAACCCUCCACGACCUCCCUGUAGCUUCCUGAUUUUAAGUAGACAUCAAAUGAUUC
ensembl:lncRNA LINC02290 long intergenic non-protein coding RNA 2290